rnacentral:lncRNA from 1 species
AGUUGAUUUAUAAUGUUCUGUCAAUUUCUGCUAUACAGUAAAGUGACCCAGUUACACAUAUAUAGCUACAUUCUUUUUCUCACAUUAUCCUCCAUCAUGUUUCAUCACAAGCGAUUAGAUAUAGUUCCCUGUGCUAAAUUGCAGGAUCUCAUUGCUUAUCCACUCCAAAUUCUAUAGUUUGCAUUUACUAACCCUGAACCCCUCAAACAAGAAUUUGAAUAGAUAUUUCUUCCAAGAUGAUACACAAAUGGCCAAUAAACACAUGAUAAGAUGCUCCACAUCACUACUCACAAAGGAAACGUAAAUCAAAACCAUGAUAAGAUAGCACUUGUAUCUACCAGAGAGGCAAACAUUUAAACAGACAGACAAUAAAAACUGCCUACUUAUUAUUGUGGAGGAUUUGGAGACAUCAGAACCCAUCUAUACUUUCCUUUCUUCCUUCCUAUUUUUUCUUUUUUGGCUGCCCUGUGGCAUAUGGGAGUUCCCAGUCCAGGAAUCAGAUCCAAGUCACAGUCGCAACCUACACCACAGCUUCAGAAACACUGGAUCUUUCACCUACCUCACUGGGCUGGUGAGUGAACCUGCAGCCUCCCGCUGUAGAGACACCGCCGAUCCCUCUGCAUCACAGUGGGAACUCUGCUGGUGGGAUUUUUAAACGGCAGGACAACUUUGGGAAAUAGUUUGUUACUUCCUCAAGAAAUGAAACAUAGAGUUACCAUAUAACCCUGCAAUUUCACUUUAAGAGAAAUGAAAACAUAGCCACAUAAACGUAUGUACACGAAUGUCCACAGCAGCAUUAUUCAUAGUAGACAAAAAAGAGAGAGAGAGAGAGAGAGAGAGAGAGAGAGAACAGCCUAAAUGUCCAUCACUUGGUGAGUGGAUAAACAAAAUGUGGUAUAUCCACACAAUGGAAUGUUACUUGCCCAUAAGAAGGAAUGAAGUGCUGACACAUGUUACAACAUGGAGGACCCUUGAAAACAUUCUACUAAAUGAAAGAGGACAGUCACAAUCAUAUAAUCACACAUUAUAUGACUCUAUGUAUAUGAAAUUUCCAGAGUAGGCAAGUUCUGAGAUCCCCAAAGUAGAUUAGUGACUGCGCAAAUUGAAUCGGUACGGAGGCUAGGGUUGUGAUAGCUAAACAAGAUGGGUUGCUUUUUGAGGUGGCGAAGACUCUAAAAUUGACUGCUAUGAUGGCCACGUAUAUCUGUAAAUACAUGAAAAACCACUGUGCUGUAUGCUUUAAAGGGAUGAAGUAUGUAAAUUCUAUCUCAAUUUGUUUUAAGGGCGGUUAGAAAGGUGGGGAACUAUUAGACCUUUUCAGGUCUUAUAAGUACAGAGAUACUGAAUUUCCCCGCCUCAACCAAAAGAUGACUGAGCAGGCUCCAAAUGUCCUUGCAGCUCCCUGAGCCUUGGAAGAGAGAACCAUCCAGAAUAUCUACACUGCAUAGUUCACGUGUGGGGGGGGGGAGCUGCAUUUCCUGUCUGUGGACAGACUGUCCACGGCUCUUCCCUUUCCCGGGAGUGGGAUCUCCAUUUCCUCUCAAGGAGGAUCCCCCUGGUUAGCGGUACUGCGUCCAGCUCAGCGGCUGCCCCCGGGCCAUGUUCUCCACUGGAGAGUACCUGGCACACGUUUCUCAUUUUAUCUGUGCUCUUGUUCCUCUGCCUGGCUCAUCAGUUUUUUUGUAAAACAAGCAGGAAAAGCAUAACCUUUUGAGUCACACAGACGACCCUGCUACUCUGCUGAAGUGCAGGUCUCUGUCCAGCUGCCCCCUGUCCCACUUCCUGUGGCGGCGGAUAUUGAUUUUUCUCAUGACAAAGAAAGUACUCAUCCCUUCCGGAAGGCUAACAAUUUUAAUCCUCAGUUUCAAGGGAAGCAUAGUGAUACUGACAACCCCUAUAAGGAAAAUAUUAAAGAAGGAAAAGCUAAAUAAAGUGACUUCUGUCUGGGUAGAGGAGGGAGAGAGAGAAUGAUAUUUAUAUAGACCCGACAGGUAUUCAAAAUAGAAGUGGAAAGGUCUUAAAAAGCAAGCAUCUCAGAUGGCCCCCCAGGGAAGGAAUUCCCGAUACAAGCUCUAGGUACUUCUCUAAUAAAAAUCCAGCCAUCACCAGAAACAACUCAUUGUCCAAUCAUCCAGCAGUGACUUUCAAGUACUGGUGACUAUGGGUAGAAUGAGAAAAUCUUCCUCCUCUUUAGAAGUGAUAUUGAACAUGUAAUGCUUAUGUGGAGGAAGUUGGUUUAAGUGUGUGGUUUGGGAAGAAAAAUAACCAGUGAGGAGCCUUUAGAAUGAACUGAUCUACAGCCAUUUGAACUGUGUGAACAAGUCUGUGCAGGCAGACAGGAAUGGGGUGAGUUCUCUGUGCCCCCACCCACCACUGACUUGCCUGCUGGCUUGUGCAAGGUGCUGGCAGAGUUGCCUCACCCCAGCACAACACCAGUCAACCCAAGGCUGCAAAUUAAGUUCUCUCCCCACCUUCCCAGGGAGUGGCAAUUCUGCUGGACCUCUUAACGCUCUCCUCCUAUUGGUCUCACUAUAAUUGACAGAGAUAAAGGGACUGGCACUGAGGAAAGUCACCUGCAAUGAAGACUGAAAAUGAGGGGAGCUGGCCAGUGUACAGUCACAUAAGGCACAACCUCAGCCAAGACCCAAAGAUGCUCUCUGAACAUGGAGUCCUAGGAAAGAGAUGAAUGGUGAUGGGUGGAGGGUGGAUGGCAUCCUCAGAAAGAGCAGAAAACCUGGGCCUGAUGACUUAGUACUGCCCUCAUUUUGAGACCAUGACAUUUACUGAUAGUGUUCAAGAAGAUGUUCUUAUUCUUAAAAGCUGGGAUUAGUAGGUAUGACCAACCAGAUAGAAAUGUCUGAAGAUAAUUAUUUCCAAGUUUCCAGUAUAGCAAAUGGGUUGAAGAUCAUUAGCAUUUGGUGAGACUCAGUUGUGGGUCAGGUCUUAGGCAGACAGGCAGCCAUAAACUCCCUGCAUUCAGCUCCCGUGAAAUACCAGAGUCUUACUUAGACUGAGCUAAUAGCCUCAGGAAAAAUAAUUUAUGCCAUUCAGGACAACUCAUACAAAUGCAAUGUGGAAUCUGUUUUUAUUAGGCUCUUUUUUCUUUAAGGCAACUAUUCUGUAAAUCAAAUCACCCUGAGAAAUAAAUCCUGUAAACACUGCUAAGUACUUGCCAAAGGCCCUGAAGUACAGCAGCUCCCACCAUCAACUGGGCCUUUCCCAGAAAGUUCAGGCUCUUCUUGAAUCACAAUGAAAGCCCAAGCGGGUCUUAGCUUUGUUCUCAUGGCGUGGUGGGUCCUCAGGAUGGUGCCCUCUCUAUCACUCGGUU